rnacentral:rRNA from 1 species
AGAGUUUGAUCCUGGCUCAGGACGAACGCUGGCGGCGUGCUUAACACAUGCAAGUCGAACGGGGCACCCUUGACUGAGGUUUCGGCCAAAUGAUAGGAAUGCCUAGUGGCGGACUGGUGAGUAACGCGUGAGGAACCUGCCUUCCAGAGGGGGACAACAGUUGGAAACGACUGCUAAUACCGCAUGAUAUAUCGAAAGGGCAUCCUUUUGAUAUCAAAGAUUUUAUCGCUGGAAGAUGGCCUCGCG